GGCCCUCUUCAGGUUCUCCCACUCAGUUUCUCCUUCCUGGUUACAAGGCCAGCAGAGGUGAUUGACGUACUAAAGCAGGUCACCAUUCCUUUGUUUGUUUGGGGGACGUCAGCCAAUGACAGAAUGAUUAUCAACAUCUGCAUUUGGGAUCGAAUGUGUUUUGAAUCCAGUUUCCCAGGAACAGACCUGAGACUCCGAGAUCUGCACGCAAGAGGUACUUGGAGCAUGCCCUCAGGAGCUCACACUCUGUCAGCAAAUUUCCAGGAAUAUGACCAAAGAUUUAAAACCACCCGUCUGCUGCAACUACAAGCCGG